GACGAGCCACCCGAACGUUAUUCGGAAUUACUGGGCUUAAAGGGUGCGUAGGCGGUGUAGCAAGUCGGGAGUGAAAAUCCCCAGGCUUAACCUGGGAACUGCAUCCGAUACUGGAUGGCUUGAAUCCGGGAGAGGGAUGCAGAAUUCCAGGUGUAGCGGUGAAAUGCGUAGAUAUCUGGAGGAACACCGGUGGCGAAGGCGGCAUCCUGGACCGGUAUUGACACUGAGGCGCGAAAGCCAGGGGAGCAAACGGG
rnacentral:rRNA from 1 species